GCACAGGCUUGGAUUUAUGGCAGGCCCGUCGCCCUGGGUCUCUCAUAGUGCCCUGUGCCAGAGCACCCUGGCCUGGAACCAUUGCCCAGCCUCUGCCCGUGGGCUGCAGGCACUGAAGCGGGCUGCACAGUG